rnacentral:rRNA from 1 species
UACGUAGGGUGCAAGCGUUAAUCGGAAUUACUGGGCGUAAAGCGUGCGCAGGCGGUUUUGUAAGUCUGUCGUGAAAUCCCCGGGCUCAACCUGGGAAUUGCGAUGGAGACUGCAAGGCUAGAAUCUGGCAGAGGGGGGUAGAAUUCCACGUGUAGCAGUGAAAUGCGUAGAGAUGUGGAGGAACACCGAUGGCGAAGGCAGCCCCCUGGGUCAAGAUUGACGCUCAUGCACGAAAGGCGUGGGGAGCAAACGAGGAUUACGAAACCC